rnacentral:lncRNA from 1 species
UUCCCAGCACAUCUUGCCUUUUCCUGCAACUUACUACAUACCAAAUAAACAUCCUGAAAAAAUAAUAGUGAAUUCAUAAAAUUGGCACACUAGACCUGUAGUUUUCUACAAACCAAGUUCUCUGUAAGUUAACUUUGAACUAAUCAAACUUGCUAGAACAGAACUUGAACAUUUCUCAAAAUAUAUCUCCCCCUCAGCAAAAUUCAAGCAGAAACAGACCGGCCUUGUCUAGAAGAGAUAAAAGUAAGAAUUGAUGUACAAAUUAAAAAAUAAUAAAAAUAAUAAUUUUAGGUCAGUAGAUUCAAUCGAAGAAAGUACAUAGCAAGCCAAUAUUCUAUUCCUUUCUAUAAGAAGUUACUAGUGUAAUCAUGUUAAACAUAUACGGUGAAGUGCAAAAGGUCAAAUAUUCUAUUCACGAGUCUUAAAAUCAAGAAAAACACUGCACGAGGAACAUGAUAAGCGAGAACAGUCAAGAUGUCAGUUCGGAUCCACAAUUGCAGAUCAUCUCCACCAGUACUAGUCUACAUUUGACACGUCAAAUUAGCCAUUUUAAUUUCCAUGAAGUUUUUUUUGCCUCUAGGUGGGUUUCUUCAUAAAUAGUAGACAUUCUUACCAUUAUUAGAACCAUUACUACUAAAUUCCAAUAUCAAUUUUCAUAAAGUAGACAAUUAAAGUGAAGGCCAACAAAUCAGAUAAAAAAUGAUACAGAUCAAUCUUACCAGUGUAUUUUUAAGGUAAACUGCAGACAAAUCACUUGUUCCACCAAUCCAGUAGUUGUCUCACUUUUGGAAAAUUUACAUAAUCUGAUGGUACACAAAUUGAAGUCUCUCAUGCACAACUAGUCGAUAGAAAUUUCUAAAUCAUACAUAGAAGAUGACAUUUCUAAAUCAUACAUAGAAGAUGACUCUUUAAUAACCUAACAUGCAUGAAUAAAGUCCAAAUUACAAUGAUGAAGCCAAGCUAAAUAAGUAUUCCGCUUCUGUUCCUUUAUUGUGAUUAUAUAAUUUUUCACCACAAAUUACAAUGGCAAAGUGUAAACAGAUGUGGCAUUGAAAGCUUAUAUAGUUGAUGUGUUAUGGACCAAUUAUGCGUGUAUUUGCCACAACUUAUUUGAAAAUUAUUUUCCUUAAAGCUCAUUUCGACCAUACAUUCUCCAAUAAAAUAAUUUUGCAAUAAUGCUUGACACAAAAACAAGUAAAGUUUGAGAGAUAAUAAGAAAAUGAACCAAGUAUGAGACAAAACUGUUGUCAUUAAGCCAGUGUCAUGCAUGUGAACAAGAAG